UUCCUUGGGUACUGAAGCUCGCGAGAGGAUCCUGGGGGCAGGCGCGUCGCGGUGGCAGUGUUUCUUGGGUGUGCGGGGCCGGGCGCCCCGUAGCCUCUGGUCUGCAUGGGGAUUACAGGUGUUUGGCAAGUGGCAUGGCAGAACAGAGAAUCUAGAUUCAGGACCUGGACUUGGAUAUAAGCUGUCACUUGUUACUUGGCCUUGCACUAAAUGACCAUUCUCAGGCUCAUAGGUGGAAGGGACUUACCCUGUCUCAGAUGAGACUUUGGACUGUGAACUUUUGAGUUAAUGCUGAAAUGAGACAAGUUCAGCAACCCUAAAGGCAAACUGGCCUAGGGCCUGGGAAGUGGAGAAUGCCUAUUCCUAGGCUAACCCAAGCAUUAGAGAAGCAUCAGGCCGCCAUUCUAGACUCAACUGCUCACCUCCUCUGAUCCACUGAGGUGUCUCUGGAAAUCCUCCACCACAGCCACAGCCUCCUCACCACUCUCAGGGUGAUGCAGCUGCACCCAGGUCCGGAGCUCCCCAGGGAGGAUGCUCAGGAACUGCUCAAGCACCAGCAGCUCCAGGAUCUGCUCCUUGGUGUGCACCUCUGGCAUGAGCCACCAGCGGCAGAGCUCCCGAAGCCGGCUCAAUGCUUCCUGCGGCCCAGACAUCUCGUGGUAACACAAUUGCCUGAAGUGUAGCCGGAAGAUUUCGCAGACAGGAGGAUAGUUCUUCUGGAGACUGCUGCCCUGCCCCCAGGUCUGGUUUGCUGGCUCCUGCUUCACAGUCAGGCGCCCCUCUUGCUUCUGGAAAGCAGUGCUCCUGGGGAUGAGGCCUAAAUUUCCCCUGCCUGCAGUGGUCAUUGUGACCCCAAAGAGAAGCUUGUUACAGCUGCAGUUGGUCCGAUUAAAAUGAUGGUCAAUAGU
ensembl:lncRNA ZKSCAN7-AS1 ZKSCAN7 ZNF cluster antisense RNA 1